rnacentral:tRNA from 1 species
UCCCUGAUAGCUCAGUUGGUAGAGAAUCUGCCUGCAACGCAGGAGACCCCAGUUCAAUUCCUGGGUUGGGAA